CAGUAGCCGCGGGAAUACGGAGGGUGCAAGCGUUAAUCGGAAUUACUGGGCGUAAAGCGUGCGCAGGCGGUUAUAUAAGUCAGAUGUGAAAUCCCCGAGCUCAACCUGGGAACUGCAUUUGAGACUGUAUGGCUAGAGUGUGUCAGAGGGGGGUAUAAUUCCACGUGUAGCAGUGAAAUGCGUAGAUAUGUGGAGGAAUACCGAUGGCGAAGGCAGCCCCCUGGGAUAACACUGACGCUCAUGCACGAGAGCGUGGGGAGCAAACAGGAUUAGAUACCCCGGUAGUCCCUGUCUCUUAUAC
rnacentral:rRNA from 1 species